CUCGUAAUAGCUCAGUUGGAAGAGCGUUAGACUAUGAAUCGAACGGUCCCUGGUUCGAUCCCGGGAGUCAACA
rnacentral:tRNA from 1 species